rnacentral:rRNA from 1 species
AGAGCGAACGUUGGCGGCAGGCCUAACACAUGCAAGUCGAACGGACCCUUCGGGGUUAGUGGCGGACGGGUGAGUAACACGUGGGAACGUGCCUUUAGGUUCGGAAUAGCUCCUGGAAACGGGUGGUAAUGCCGAAUGUGCCCUUCGGGGGAAAGAUUUAUCGCCUUUAGAGCGGCCCGCGUCUGAUUAGCUUGUUGGUGAGGUAAUGGCUCACCAAGGCUACGAUCAGUAGCUGGUCUGAGAGGAUGAUCAGCCACACUGGGACUGAGACACGGCCCAGACUCCUACGGGAGGCAGCAGUAGGGAAUAUUGGACAAUGGGCAAAGCCUGAUCCAGCAAUGCCGCGUGAGUGAUGAAGGUCCUAGGUGUAAAGCUCUUUACCGAGAUGGUAAUGACAGUAUACGGAGAAGUAACGCCCCGGACUAAACCGUCCGCGACCCAAGCCAGCCCGC